rnacentral:rRNA from 1 species
UACGUAGGGGGCAAGCGUUGUCCGGAAUCAUUGGGCGUAAAGAGCGUGUAGGCGGCCUGAUAAGUCGGCUGUGAAAGUCAAGAGCUCAACCCUUGAAUGCCGGCCGAUACUGUCAGGCUAGAGUCCGGAAGAGGCGAGUGGAAUUCCUGGUGUAGCGGUGAAAUGCGCAGAUAUCAGGAGGAACACCUAUGGCGAAGGCAGCUCGCUGGGACGGUACUGACGCUGAGACGCGAAAGCGUGGGGAGCGAACAGG